rnacentral:misc_RNA from 1 species
GAUGAAGAACGUAGCGAAAUGCGAUAAGUAAUGUGAAUUGCAGAAUUCAGUGAAUCAUCGAAUCUUUGAACGCACAUUGCGCCCAUUAGUAUUCUAGUGGGCAUGCCUGUUCGAGCGUCAUUUCAACCCUUAAGCCUAGCUUAGUGUUGGGAAUCUGCUGUAUUGCAGUUCCUCAAAUACAACGGCGGAUCUGUAACAUCCUCUGAGCGUAGUAAAUUUUUAUCUCGUUUUUGUUAGGUGUUGCAGCUCUCAGCCGCUAAACCCCCCAAUUUUUGUGGUUGACCUCGGAUCAGGUAGGAAUACCCGCUGAACUUAAGCAUAUCAAUAAGCGGAGGA